rnacentral:rRNA from 1 species
UACGUAGGGGGCUAGCGUUGUCCGGAAUCAUUGGGCGUAAAGAGCGUGUAGGCGGUCCGGUAAGUCUGCUGUGAAAGUCGGGGGCUCAACCCUCGAAUGCCGGUGGAUACUGUCGGGCUAGAGUGCGGAAGAGGCGAGUGGAAUUCCUGGUGUAGCGGUGAAAUGCGCAGAUAUCAGGAGGAACACCGGUGGCGAAGGCGGGUCUCUGGGCCGAUACUGACGCUGAGGAGCGAAAGCGUGGGGAGCGAACAGG